AACCGUUCAUCAUAUUUAAGGAUGCAGUUCGAGGUAUUCCAAGGAACGGGGGGAUAGC
ncrna:unclassified sequences Glutamine-II riboswitch (downstream peptide RNA)